UCUAAUAUGGCAGAUUAGUGCAAUGAAUUUAAGCUUCAUAUAUAAAACAUAGUUUUUUUUAGAA
rnacentral:tRNA from 1 species